GCCAAUGCAGAGUCUACAGCCUGAUCACACACAAUACUGUCUGAUCUUGGAAGCUAAGCAGGCUUAGGGCCUGGCCAGUAUUGGGU
rnacentral:rRNA from 1 species